ACCACCCCACACCCCCUGUGGUGCCCGAAGCAGUUUUCUUCCCCCCAGCUCGCCAUUCGUUUUCCGACGCCGCUCCGCCGUUCAUCCUGUCGUUCCCCAGCUUGCGAUUCGUUUCCCGACGCCGCUCCGCCGAUCCGGGGACUGGCGCCGCCCACCGCCAGUUGCUUGCCAGCCCCUGCGUUCCCGACACUGCCGUUGCCCUCACCAUCGACCAGGAGAGCAGCGCCGCGCCCCUGCCGCCACCGUUGCCCUCGUCGUCGAUCUCGCGUCACACCCGGCAACAAGCUUCCCCCCAGCCCCCGCCCGAUCCGGCGCCUGACUUCCCGACCAUGGAGGCCCCGAGCUUGUAUCCUGUCGGCAGUUUUCCAUCUUCCCAUCCUGAUCUCACCUCGGUUCGGAGAUAGAUUCAUGGCAUUGAAGAUUGGCGGUGCCAGGUUGUUCUUACGCGACUGCAGGUUCCUAUCUUUUUCCUUUGCCGUGGAUUUGACUGGAUAAAUGAGAUGUGAAGCCCUCCUGUGCAAGGUUAUUCUUUUUCAGGAUGAAUUCUCGAAGAAGAUUAAUGCACGUGAUUCAUAUCAAUGCUAGGAGGGUGGUCUUUGAGAGCUCCACGAGGUGUUUGUGGUUCCCCUCCAUGAUCAGGGAGGGCUGGUUGCAGGGAUGUCAAAGUCAGAAGAAUGGUGGGAAAUGUUGUACUAGACUUAAUAUUAGGUGCAACCCUGGAGAUGUGGUAUUCAGAAUUCAAUUGCUCAAUCCUGAUCAGUAUGUGACCAUCGAGGCUCUCGGUUUUGGUCACCUGGAUGGAAGCAGAAGAUUCAGGACCUGCAGGAGGAGAUACUGAAGGGACGAUCGGACAACCUUAGCUGCGCCCUUCUUCAUGAUUCUUUUGAACUGGUUUUUGUUCCCCACAAGUAGCUAUAGCAUUGAUUUGAGCCACAUCAAAAGGGCGCAUCCUGAAACUUUCUGUGGAAUAGACUGGGCCCAAGCUGUAUUCAAUGAUAUUCAGUUUGCAGUUUGUAGAUGGCAAACAAUUGUCCCAAACAAUUUAUGGCUGUGCUUGUCUCCUGAUCUGAAGUUUUCUCCGGACCGAAUUAGGUGCAGGGAUAGAACCGAUAUGUACAGCUUCCUACCAGUUAAUCGUUCUUCAAAUUUGAUUGCUAGUCCAAAUAUUUAGAUUUUUUUCCUUUUUGUAUCUGAUGAACUCAUAUUGGAUUGUGAAUUGCAGUUUAAGACCUGGGCAAGCACUUGUUACGUUGCAGCUAAUAGUGCACUGGAUGAAUUUUGCAAAUGGACAUGAAGUGCAUCAGAGAAGGUGACAGUCUAGUGGUGAAGGCUUGCUCAAGACAUGGGCACAACCAAUAGCAUCUCAAACUCUGUGGCUAGGAAAGGCUUAAAUAGGCGCUUCUGUUUUGUGGCAUUGAGGCAACACAAGGACAUUGAGUCAAAUCAUGAAUUAUUAUAUUGUUGUAUGGUAAAGAGUCUUUCACUUCGGUUGAUAGGAAUUCCAGUGGUUGAGUUCUGGGAAAUUGAUUUGCGAAGUCCAGUCAAGAGCAUCUAGGUGGGGAUGUAAAGUACAUGGGCCUGGUAUCCAUAUCCGCCAGUAGCAUAGUGCACAUUUUUCCUUGUGACGAAUCCAGUAUUUGGUGCAACAGAUAUUCGCUGUCUGAUCAUACUAGCCAACUUUUCCUGUAACAUUUAUUUCACUAUUUACUGUCUCGUCAAUUUAGUAAAGCAUAAACAUUUCUGUUUUGGAAUGUAAA